AACGAACGCUGGCGGCAUGCCUAACACAUGCAAGUCGAACGAGAUCUUCGGGUCUAGUGGCGCACGGGUGCGUAACGCGUGGGAAUCUGCCCUUUGGUUCGGAAUAACAGUUGGAAACGACUGCUAAUACCGGAUGAUGACGAAAGUCCAAAGAUUUAUCGCCAGAGGAUGAUCCCGCGUAGGAUUAGCUAGUUGGUGUGGUAAAGGCGCACCAAGGCGACGAUCCUUAGCUGGUCUGAGAGGAUGAUCAGCCACACUGGGACUGAGACACGGUCCAGACUCCUACGGGAGGCAGCAGUGGGGAAGAUUGGACGAUGGGCGAAAGCCUGAUCCAGCAAUGCCGCGUGAAUGAUGAAGGCCUUAGGGUUGUAAAGCUCUUUUACCCGGGAUGAUAAUGACAGUACCGGGAGAAUAAGCUCCGGCUAACUCCGUGCCAGCCGCCGCCGUAA
rnacentral:rRNA from 1 species